UACGGAGGAUGCAAGCGUUAUCCGGAAUGAUUGGGCGUAAAGCGUCCGCAGGUGGCUAUGUAAGUCUGCUGUUAAAGAGUGAGGCUCAACCUCAUAAGAGCAGUGGAAACUACAUAGCUAGAGUGCGUUCGGGGCAGAGGGAAUUCCUGGUGUAGCGGUGAAAUGCGUAGAUAUCAGGAAGAACACCGGUGGCGAAAGCGUGCUGCUAGACCUGUACUGACACUGAGGGACGAAAGCUAGGGGAGCGAAUGGG
rnacentral:rRNA from 1 species